UAUGGGUUGUCAGGCGCCGAAAGAGGCGACUUUCACAACAAAACAAGACCAAAAAUAUGUAGACGCAUCGAAUUUAGAUUCCUCAUCUCUUAUGCUUUUCUGAGUUCAGCAUUGCUUCUCAGUGGACUUCACUGUGUCUUUGAACGCGUUAUGUGACAGAAGAUGGUUUAUUCCAGAAAAAAAAAACAGAAAAGUGCCGAUGACAGCACAAACUGGUAUGGCUUUAUCGUUGAAGUAGGAAGUAUAGACCUAUUGUUUAGCUGUGACUGGUUUGGACAUUAAGGAAACCGGAAGUUGAAGAAAUGUGAAAGACUCACAGAGAAAAGAUGUCUAAAGGAAAAUGGCAGGCGAUGAUUUGGAAUCUUCAAACAGAGAAUGAUUGAUAAAUGAUGCAUUGUCAAGGAGAACACAUAGCAGGAAAGAAGAAACAGAAGAUCUUACUUAGAUUGCCACAGAGUACAAGCCAAGCAUGGGAACUUCAUACUGGCAGUGAUAAUGCACAUAUUGUGUACAGAUGGUAAUAUUGGACAGAGCUGAGGCCCCAGCACACGUACAGACAAGUCCACUUGUCAUCACAUUAACACAGGGAUGACAGGAAGCCAGCAUCACUCUGGAGUGCUGGGCAAUAGACAGAAACUAUCCUAGAGCGGAACUCCAGUCUGCCACAAGACCCAUUCACACUUACUUUUGGGAAGUUUACAGAGGAAAACAACAUAAAAGAGGGAAGAUCUCAACCACCUC